rnacentral:tRNA from 1 species
CAUAAUUUAGCUUAAUAAAAGUAUCUCGCUACACUGAGAAGACAUCUGGUAAACCCAGAUUUUUAUGAG